rnacentral:rRNA from 1 species
GUCCACGCCCUAAACGAUGCGAACUGGACGUUGGGAGCAACUAGGCUCUCAGUGUCGAAGCUAACGCGUUAAGUUCGCCGCCUGGGGAGUACGGUCGCAAGACUGAAACUCAAAGGAAUUGACGGGGGCCCGCACAAGCGGUGGAGUAUGUGGUUUAAUUCGAUGCAACGCGAAGAACCUUACCUGGCCUUGACAUCCACGGAAGUCUGCAGAGAUGCGGAUGUGCCUUCGGGAACCGUGAGACAGGUGCUGCAUGGCUGUCGU